UGUGUGGCAUACUGCAUAAUUCAGGAUGAAAGGAAAUGAUUGGCCACAAUUGCAUCCUGCAUAUUUUCCUUUUAUUAAUGCUACGUGGCUGGCAUUUACCCUUUCAUGAGCAGGCUUAGCAGCAGCAGCUCCUUGAGCUUUAAUCAAGUACUGUUUCGACAAUACAAAAUACAGCAAUCUGUCAUUAAUUACUCUUCAGGCAGCUGCUGAACUGGACUUUCAAUGCAAUGAAAUGUUUACUUUUGAUAGGCUGCAGAAGCUGGGGAAUUAGCUGCAUGAUACUGUGCCGCACCAAAUGAAUAUGUUGCCUGCCCUGAAGGAGUAUCAGAAUAAUAGAGUGGCAACUGACAUGUCAGGAAAAAAACGCUUUAUCCACUACUUACUGCCACGGCUCCAUCUCAAUCUCUAAGUGUACUGUCAGUGAAAUGCUUUUCUUCUCUUGACAGGCUUGUGUCUUGGUAAAAUCAGUCAUUUAAUGAACACACGAUUUCUAUCAUUUUCAAGGUUUGGUCUGCUCUGACAGGCAGCCUAACAGAUGGAGUGUGGUGUUGCAGCAAGGAAGAUGGAGGAGAUCAUUGGUUUGAAAAUUCUUCAAUCAACGAGGCCAGACUACUGACGUUUAGGAACUCUGCAGCCCAAGGGUAUCAAUGUGGAUUUCACAAGCUUCAAAAUCUCCCCUCCCCCGGCCACAUGCCAAAACCAGCCCAGCUGGUCCCCGCCUCCUUAACCAUUCCUCCCACCUCAAGCCCCACCCCCAUCCCCGACCCGCUGACCUCAUCCCGUCCCCCUAACCUGUCUGUCCUCCCUGGACUGACCUAUCCCCCCUAACUCCCCACCAACAUUCACCUUCACUGGCUCUAACCCCGCCUCUUUGACCUGUCUGACUCCUCUCACCUACCUUCUCCUUUAUCCAUCUUGUAUCCGCCUCCCCCCAUCUCCCUAUUUAUUUCAGAAUCCCCUUUCCCUCCCCCAUUUCUGAAGAAGGGUCCCGACCCGAAACAUCAAGCUUUCCUGCCCCUCUGAUGCUGCUCGGCCCACUGUGUUCAUCCAGCUUCACAUUGUGUUAUCGAAGUGCAAAGAUGCCUAGGUACAGAUUCUAAACAACAAAUACGAAGGAAACAAAGCCAGGGAAGUAAAGAAAUAAAAAUUCCAGCAUUACAGAUUGAAGGGAUAAAUUAGAAAAAUAAAGAAAAGGAAAGUUCAGAAUAACAGUCUUUCCAACCCAGCCCAUGCUGGCACCUAGCCUCCAGUAAUUGGAAGGCAGACCUCCACUGCCUCACCACUGCCUGUGCCACAAUCACCAAUAUCAGAGUUGGCACACUUUAUACACCAUCUCUUCACUGCUGGGCCCGCCUUGCUGACACCUCUGUACCCACAUUACCCCACAACCAGGAGCCCACAGCUCCGUUAUCGCUGCUGCCUCACUGAUAACCAGGACCCCCUGAUCCAGGCAUAACACUGCCUCGCCAGCGGCAGGACCUCCUGCUCUGGGCCCACGGCCAACAUGAGUCCCUGGCUGUGCUGCCAGGCCAGGGCCUGCAGAUGUCGCCUUACCGGCACUGCUAUGUUAAACAGUCCCUUGCCUCCAGGCCUGCUGCCCAGUCACCAGGAGAAGCUGCCUCCCCGCGCUCUACACAUGGCCUGUUCUCGCUGCCACGCCGAUCCUGCCAACUAACCCGCCACAGAAAAGGAAAACAAAACAGAAGAAUAUGGAAGAGAAAAAGAGAAGAUACAAAAGUUAAAAAAACAAAGCAGAUGGGAGCGAAUGAGCCCGGGCCGUGAGCCUGCAUGCAGCCCUGCUACUCCACCGCCAUCUGGAAAUUCACCACCAUCGUAGGUUCGAUCUCAAAUAAUGACCAGAUAAAGUACAGAAAAAACUUAGAGUGCUUAGCAUUAUGGUGUAAAGACAACAAUCUCUCCAUCAACGUCAGCAAAACAAAGGAGCUGGUCAUUGACUUCAGGAAGAGGGCAUGCCCCUGCCUACAUCAAUGGUGCUGAGGUGGAGAUAGUCAACAGCGCCUGGAAUGAUGAUCACCAACAAUCUAUCCUGGUCCACCCACGUUGGCACAAUGGUCGAGAAUGCACAAUAAUGCCUCUACUUCCUCAGAAGGCGAAGGAAAUUUGCCAUGUCCAUAAAGACUCUCACCAAUUUUUACACACGCAACGGAAAAGCAUCCUAUCUGGAUGCAUCACAGCAUGAUAUGGCAAUUAUCCUUCCCAAGGCUGCAAGAAACUACGGAGCUGUGAACAUGGCCCAGUCCAGCAUGCAAACCAGUCUCCAAUCCAUAGACCCCAUCUAUUCUUCCAGCUACCACAAGAAAGCAACCAACAUCAUUGAGACGCCUCCCACCACAGUUAUACUCUCUUCCACCCUCUUCUGUUGGGCAGCUGAUAUAAAAGUUUGAAUACAUAUAUACAAACAAAUUCAAGAAUAGCUUCUUCCCUGUUGUUAUCAGACUUUUGAACAGAUCUCUGCAUUUUCUGUGUGGCUGUAAUAGUGUAUUCUGCACUCUUCUGCUACCCUAGUAUACCUUAUAUAGUGCAAUCUGCUUGUAUAGCAUGCAAAACAACACUUUUCCCUGUAUCUUGGUACAUGUGAUAAUUUUAAAAAUUGCAAUCCUUGUGUUGUUAUUGCAUCUACAUUUGAUUUUCAUUCAUGCAUUUUAUUGUUCUGUUACCACAUCCUCUGGAAUUAUCAUGGUUCCGGACUGUAGGAUAAUGCACUAAUUCAUGGUAUUUUGCUACAUGCAGACUGAGUUGCUUGAUUUUCUCAGAAGGGACAAUAGAUCUUAAAAUAUUAAUGCCAGCACGUGAUGGAGAGACAGAAUGAAACAGCUCCAACAGCUGAGGCUCUGCUUCACUCUGGGGAGAAUCACCCAGCCUCUCAAACAUCAGCAUGUUACAGCUCCUGAAGCAGAUUUAAUUUAUUAGCCAAAUUUACGGCAAAUAGAUUAUCUCUGUCUUGGUAAUAAACUUGACAUGAAACAUGCACCUCAUGAAUAACAGAUAGUUGGUAAAUGCAUGAAGGCGACUAUUUUCUCAGUAUUCGUUCUUAGUUAAGCAGGCGCAUCACUUAUCACUUUACCCAUACUCCUCACAGAAUUUCAAACACAUCAAACAAAGCCUGUUAUAGGCUUUCCGAAUGUGGCUGCUGCUGUGCUUUUAUUAACUUUCGUGUCUAUUUGCCUGCGUCUUCUUUCAAGUCAUUUUAUUUAUUUUAACUGGAAGACAGAACUCCAUGAUGUUGAUGUAUUGAGAGGAGGGAACACUCCCAAGAGGUGGGUGGACCGAUUGCAGGAAGGGAAAUCUCACAGUAAAGAUCUUUACAUUUAGAGCAGGUUCUGUUUAAACAGGUUUUUGCAUUUGUCAAAGAACAUUAUUAAAAUGUGUUUGCCUCACUGCCUUUGAGCUUGGCAGAAAUGAAUCUAUUACACUGUAGGGAACAUCGCUUACUUAAUCGUUUAAUUUUAGCACGAUGGAUAUUAAAAAUGAAGAAAGCAAUACUUCAACUAAAUAAUCCUGAAUGGCAAUUGGCCCUGUGGUACACAAUUCUUGAUUAAAAAUUAUAAAGGAAUUUAAAAUAAAAUAGAAUCGAGCCC